rnacentral:tRNA from 1 species
UAGCUCAGUUGGUAGAGCAUGGCACUUGCAACGCCAGGGUCCUGGGUUUGAUUCCCAUG